UUCGGUUUCACUUUGCUUCUUACUGUACAGACUGCUGCCACGCUGGCUGUCUAGGUCGCUCUGUAAGUAAGGCUUUUCCCUGUUAAAUACCCUUAUAUUUCUACCUGACUCCGUAUUGGUAAUUUUCCACUAUAUAUUAUAUUUUGGGUAGCUUGUGUUCUUCUGCUUGUGGCUGGAUAUAAAGGUAUCAUGGAAGUGAAUUAAAGAAAGAGUAUAAUGCCCCAGUGAGAAAAUAGCCUUCUUCCAAACUUGGGGGACAAGAGGAAGCAGGUUUUCAAGCUGUCCCUUUCACAAAGAGUUGUGGCUGAAUACAGAUGUGGCUGCUGUGAGCCUUUAUAUGGGUGGACAGCUGAACAAAAACCAGGGCUUCAAUGUGUCUGCCCAUAUAUAUCUCUUCCUUGAACAUCGUGAGAGGGUUACAAGCCAUCGUGAAAAUUUGAAGUUUACCUAGCAAGCUGUAUUCCUACUGAGACUGAGUGACUACUGGCCAGCAAACAGUAAAAACACAAGAGAUUCUGCGAAAUGAGAAGAUGUUAUUUUUAAAGCAAAGAAGAUUGCAUAAUUCAGGAUACUAACUUUUUCUAGUCUUAUUGCUCUUGUUCAAUCACAUAACACUUCCUGUUCACACCAAAUUAUUUGAAGAGAAGGCAAGUUCCUUAUGUAUACAUGCAAUCAAAGCAAUAUAAGGAAAAUACUCAAUGAUAUGUGAAGGAAUGGAACUGAAACCUUUUGAAAGUAUAAAA
rnacentral:lncRNA from 1 species